CAUCCGGUGCAAUGGGAAAACUCAGACAUUUUGGUGAUGAAAGAAGUACGGGUACGUAGCCCCUAUCUUUCCGAUUGUGUCUUUGGAGGAACUGAUGCUGCCAACAACCGAGUCAAGAAAGUGCUUGAGCUGGAGAGACGAAGGUUGCAACUCUUUGGCACAUGAGUCCAGUGAAAUCGCGCUAAAAAGGUUAUAUGUUACUGCUAUCCCGAAAAACAGCGUCUAGAUCUGAUCGACCACCGAGAAGCAUGUUCGCUUGCUUCUCGCAUGUUGUUGUUUUUACCUAGAAUCUGCUUGUCCUUAUAAGCAGAUUAGAGAUUUCUUGAAUUUCAGGUGGAUUACACCAUGCUAUUGUUUUUGUUAAAUGUUAUUACAUCAUCAUCUUAUUCAAUUCACGAAACAUACAACUAA